rnacentral:rRNA from 1 species
UACGGGGGGGGCAAGCGUUGUUCGGAAUUACUGGGCGUAAAGGGCUUGUAGGCGGCCAACUAAGUCAGACGUGAAAUCCCCCGGCUUAACCUGGGAACUGCGUCUGAUACUGGAGGGCUUGAGUGCGGGAGAGGGAUGUGGAAUUCCAGGUGUAGCGGUGAAAUGCGUAGAUAUCUGGAGGAACACCGGUGGCGAAGGCGGCAUCCUGGACCGACACUGACGCUGAGGCGCGAAAGCUAGGGUAGCAAACGGG